rnacentral:rRNA from 1 species
UACGUAGGGGGCUAGCGUUGUCCGGAAUCAUUGGGCGUAAAGCGCGUGUAGGCGGCCCGGUAAGUCCGCUGUGAAAGUCGGGGGCUCAACCCUCGGAUGCCGGUGGAUACUGUCGGGCUCGAGUACGGAAGAGGCGAGUGGAAUUCCUGGUGUAGCGGUGAAAUGCGCAGAUAUCAGGAGGAACACCAAUUGCGAAGGCAGUUCGCUGGGACGUAACUGACGCUGAGACGCGAAAGCGUGGGGAGCAAACAGG